rnacentral:rRNA from 1 species
AUGACCAGCCCCAUCAUCCCGCGGACCGAUGACGGCGGCCAGGCCGCGGCCACGAGGGUGGGCCGCCUCAACGCCGCGGUGGAGCGGUCCUGGGUGGGGCGGCGCUUCCGCCUGGCCGCGCGCGGGACCACCUUCACCACCGAGCUCCGCGCCGGCACCACCACCUUCCUCACCAUGGCCUACAUCCUCGCCGUCAACGCCUCCAUCCUCUCCGACUCGGGCGCCACCUGCUCCGUCGACGACUGCGCCUCCCCGUCCCCCGCCUGCAAGUUCCCGCCCGUCGACCCGGGGUACGCCGCCUGCCUCUCCCGCGCGCGCCGCGACCUCAUCGUCGCCACCGCCGCCUCCUCCGUCAUCGGCUCCUUCAUCAUGGGCGCCUUCGCCAACCUCCCCAUCGCGCUCGCUCCCGGCAUGGGCACCAACGCCUACUUCGCCUACACCGUCGUCGGCUUCCACGGCUCCGGCACGCUCUCCUACCGCAAGGCGCUCGCCGCCGUCUUCAUCGAGGGCCUCGUCUUCCUCCUCAUCUCCCUCGUCGGCCUGCGCUCCAAGCUCGCUCAAUUGAUCCCCAAGCCCGUGCGGAUCGCGUCGUCCGCGGGGAUCGGGCUGUUUCUGGCCUUCAUCGGGCUGCAGAGCAACCAGGGGUUCGGCCUCGUCGGGUUCAGCACGUCCACGCUGGUCACGCUCGGCGCGUGCCCGGCCUCGCAGCGCGCGUCCGUGGCGCCGGUCAUGACGUUCCCCAACGGCACGGUGGCGCUGAUGCCCGGCGGCACGGUCUCCGGCGGCAUACUCUGCCUCUCUGGCCGGAUGACCUCCCCGACCUUCUGGCUCGCGGUGGUCGGCCUCCUCAUCAUCGCCUUCUGCCUCAUCAAGAACGUCAAGGGCGCCAUGAUCUACGGCAUCCUCUUCGUCACCUUCAUCUCAUGGCCGCGCAACACCGCGGUCACCGCGUUCCCGGACACGUCCGCCGGCGACGAGAGCUUCAACUACUUCAAGAAGGUGUUCGACGUCCACCGCAUCCAGUCCACGGCCGGCGCGCUCGACUUCAGCGGCAUCGGGCACGGCUACUUCUGGGAGGCCCUCAUCACCUUCCUCUACGUCGACAUCCUCGACACCACAGGCGGGCUCUACUCCAUGGCGCGCUUCGCCGGCUUCGUGGACGACGCCACGGGGGAGUUCGAGGGGCAGUACUUCGCCUUCAUGUCCGACGCCACCGCCAUCGUCUUCGGCUCGCUGCUGGGGACGUCCCCGGUGACGGUGUUCAUCGAGUCGUCCACCGGGAUCCGCGAGGGCGGCCGGACGGGGCUCACGGCGCUCACCGCGUCCUUGUACUUCACGGCGGCGCUGUUCAUCACGCCGCUGCUCGCGUCGAUCCCGUCCUGGGCGGUCGGGCCGCCGCUGGUGCUGGUGGGCGUGAUGAUGAUGCGCGCCGUGGCGGAGGUGGACUGGGAGGACAUGCGACAGGCCGUGCCGGCGUUCAUGACGCUCGCGCUCAUGCCGCUCACCUACUCCAUCGCCUACGGCCUCAUCGGCGGCAUCGCCUCCUACAUGCUGCUCCACUCCUGGGAUUGGGCGUGUGAAGCCGCCGGGAGGCUUGGCUGUCGUCCUCGUCGGAAAGUGGGUGGCGGCGAGGCCACGCGAGCCGAUACACCAGUAAGUAACGAAAGUGCCAGUGGCAACGGGGAGCAUGGGAAGGGCGUGUCUCACGUGGAAUUAUCCUAG